UACGGAGGGUGCGAGCGUUGUCCGGAAUCACUGGGCGUAAAGGGCGCGUAGGCGGCCUGAUAAGUAGGGGGUGAAAUCCUGCGGCUUAACCGCAGGGCUGCCUUCUAAACUGUCAGGCUCGAGCACAGUAGAGGCAGGUGGAAUUCCCGGUGUAGCGGUGGAAUGCGUAGAGAUCGGGAGGAACACCGGUGGCGAAGGCGGGUCUCUGGGCAUCUCCUGACGCUGAGGCGCGAAAGCCAGGGGAGCAAACGGG
rnacentral:rRNA from 1 species